UGAUAGCUCCCGCAGUCAAUGGCACACUGAACGUGCUUAAAGCAUGUGUUGAAGCUAAUAUUAAGCGUGUCGUUUAUGUGUCCUCAGUAGCUGCGGUUAGCCUUAACCCUCUGUGGACAAAGAAUCAAGUGCUGGAUGAGACAUGUUGGUCUGACCAAGAAUACUGCCGAAAGACAGAGAAUUGGUACUGUCUAUCAAAGACACAGGCAGAGAGUGAAGCUUUCGAGUUUGCAAAGAGAUCUGGACUCGAUCUUGUCAGCAUCUGUCCUACCCUUGUCCUGGGGCCAAUCCUGCAGCCCACUGUAAAUGCCAGUACCCUAGUUCUCGUCAAGCUUCUGAAA